AGCUUGUUAGGCCCGUCCUCCUCCACCCGGUACCCGUCAUUGAAGAGCCCCAGCAGCAGCCUGGCCUGGAAGUGGUUGAAACAACUGAUACCAACUCUUCCGAAUCCCCUCCCAGUCAUUGAAAUGCCAUGCUGCAGGGACCAAGGUAGUCUAUCAGUGAGGAUAUGAAUGUCUUAUGACUGCUCUGGUUUUGUUUUAGCUUAUUGUUGGUUGAAGCCUCGGCAGCAGAGGCUGAGGCAAUUAGUUUUUUUUAAAAAACAGGUGGCUAACGCCGACGCUUAUAAGCGUCGGCUUUGAGUCUUUUAGCGACGCUUUUAAACGUCGCUAAAACGCGUCGUUCAAAACUGAGCUUUUAGCGACGCUUAUAAGCGUCGGCUUUGAGUCUUUUAGCGACGCUUUGAUUAGCGUCGGGAAAGUCUUGUUUUUGCCGACGCUUUCUCUUAGCGUCGGCAAAAAUCGGACCCACGCCCACCUGCCCGACGUCUGAUCCACGCUUUGGGGAGCGUUGGCUGGAAUUUUGCCGACGCUUAAAAGCGUCGGUAGAGACCAAUAAAAGCGCCGGUAAAAGUCACUAUUCCUGUAGUGCAGCAGGAUGCAUAUAAAUGUUUGUAGAAAUAAAUGUAUAUAUGUGUGCAAAAUUGCUAUAGGUGCAUGCAAACAACAUGUGAGGGCCCAGUCGAUUGACCGGCUUGCACUUGCCUUAGGCCUGAGAGCCGACCCUAAGAGGUCAGGCCCAAGGCCAGUGUGCCCUGUGGCGAUGCAGGAAGUCCUCCUCCGCUUCCGGCAGAAAUCGGGCACUCUCAAAACAACCCGAGUUCUUCUAGAACUCGAAGGCUUCGCAUAUUUAACUUUCCUCCUCCUUAGAUUUCCUUCAUCGGAAUCAUCAAGAAUAUCCGCCGAUUCCAAGCCCUCUUUCCAAGCUUGUUUCCUCAAUUCCUCACUAAAAAGGGUUGUCGGAGGCUUCGCCGAACCAAAGUAAAUGUUCCUCGUCUUGCUCCUCUUCCUUUCCUAGUGAUUUAGCAAACUUUGCUUGAGUUUUAGCCGGCAAAUAACCGAAAUUGGAUCCAAAACAGGAUGCCCUAUUUCGGCUCCCUUCUUUCGAUCAUGUCGCCGCUGCUGGCCGCCCUCCGCCUCAUGUCUCCAUCUCCGGCCGCCACCUCACUGGACCACCAAGUCCACAACCACCAGCCACCUCCUUCUUCCUCUGUUUUAGCAAGAAAGAAAAAAAGAAAGAAAGAAGAGGAGGAGAGAGAGAACCAUCCCUCUCUUUCUCUCUCUUGUUUCCUCUCUCUUCUCUCUACUCUUCUCUCUCUAAUUUCUCUCUCCUCUCUCCACUUUCGCUCUCUAGAAUGUUCAAGAAAUCUGAAGUCGGAUUAUGUCGAUCUGAUCUAUGAACCCGAGUUGAUCCCUGAAAAGAGACCUAAAACUGUCAAGUUGCUCGGGCUGCUUACUAGACCGAUCACCACAGCUCCAUUGAAUGUUCUUGAAACCUUUAUUGAUAAACUAUGUUGAUUAAUCUUGGCCCUGAUUGAGUCCAAUUUAUUGAGCUAAUCGUAUAGACCUGACCCACAUGAAACCACCGUACGUCUGGUAAAGACUACUUGUAUUAUUGUAUUAAAGUCAUCAAUUAAAAAUUAAUUUUAUUGUUAAUAUUUUGAAUAGGUUUUGCAGAGUCGCCUAGCGAAAUUUGACCACCUAAGAUGAAAGAGGUAUGUAAACCUUAUACUCCUUACUAGUUUUUAAACUUGUAAGUAGAUCUUACACUUCUUAUUAUUUUUAAAUUUUUACUUAUUUUUUGGUAUUAUAAAAAUAUAAAAAUAGUGUUAAAUAUUGAUGAUAUCAUAUUUUCUUAAAAUCAAGGAUCAAGCAUACAAUAUUAUGAAACUCCUAAUUUAUUGCGAAAUAAUAGUUCCAUGAUUGUUUUACCGUUAAACACUAUCGAUGAACUCUGAACUUCAUAUUUAUGAAAUUUGUAUUUAUGUUAUGCAAAGAAUAAUUUCAUGAUUAUUCUACUGUUAAAUGCUUAUUUAUGGGCUAUGAACUCUAUAAAGUCAUUUAGUGUUUUAUUGACGUAUGAUUCAAGAAAAUAUGAUUCAAGAAAUAUGACUUAAGAAAAAUUAUUUUAAGAACCAUGGCAAAAAAGCUCUUAGAUAGCUAUGUAUGACUCCUAAAAGUAGGAUCGAUCAACAUCCAAUUCCAUACAACCCUGCCAAGUGGGUAAGAGUAGUUUGUAGACAAACCUACCAGUGGAUAAAAGUAGUUGGCAUAUGACCUUGUAAGUGGGUAAUAGUAGUUGGCAGACAAACCUACCAGCGGGUAAAAGUAGUUGGCAUACGACCCUACCAAUAGGUAAUAGUAGUUGGUGUUUGUCGAUUAUGACCCCAUCAUAGGUAUAAUAGUGACCUUAGCAUUUAGUCUGAGAGUAGUAAUUUGAUCAAUGAUAUUAUUAAAUAUUAAAUAAUUUAUAGUUUUAUUUAUGUUGUACACCAGAAAUCGUAUUUAUGAAAUAUGAAUGAUUUAAGCAUGCAUGAUUGGCUUUAUGAUUUGUUUUAAUAUAUUGUAUUAUGAAAUGCUUUAUUUUGUAAUAUCUGUUAUUUUUUUUAAAUAAUGCCUUAAUAUGCAAAAACUUAUACUUCCUUUGGUAAAAUAGUGAAAGGUUUAUUUACUAACAUACGUCGCUCAUAUACCUCUAUUUUUUUCUCUCUCCAGACGAAUAGGGUCGAUAAGAAUGAAAGAUAGUCCAAGCUUGGAGUUCGCGCUAGCAAGCUUGGCGAUCUACAUAGCAGAGCAGAACUUUAGUUCUUUAGUUGAUUAUGAAAUUAUAGUUAGUGAUUUUCUGAAUAGUAAAAAAU
rnacentral:lncRNA from 1 species